rnacentral:tRNA from 1 species
UCCCAGGUGGCUCAGCUGGUAAAGAAUCCACCUGCAAUGUGGGAGACCUGGGUUCAACCCCUGGGUUGGGAA